CUUGAUUCUCAUCCCCCCAGACCUUAUAUUUAUUAUUUAAUGAAUUAGAGCUAUAGCGUGGGUUUUUAGGCCUGAUAAAACAAAUUCCUUGAUUCUCAUCCCCCCAGACCUUAUAUUUAUUAUUUAAUGAAUUAGAGCUAUAGCGUGGGUUUUUAGGCCUGAUAAAACAAAUUCCUUGAUUCUCAUCCCCCCAGACCUUAUAUUUAUUAUUUAAUGAAUUAGAGCUAUAGCGUAGGUUUUUAGGCCUGAUAAAACAAAUUCCUUGAUUCUCAUCCCCCCAGACCUUAUAUUUAUUAUUAAAUGAAUUAGAGGUAUAGCGUGGGUUUUUAGGCCUGAUAAAACAAAUUCCUUGAUUCUCAUCCCCCCAGACCUUAUAUUUAUUAUUUAAUGAAUUAGAGCUAUAGCGUGGGUUUUUAGGCCUGAUAAAACAAAUUCCUUGAUUCUCAUCCCCCCAGACCUUAUAUUUAUUAUUUAAUGAAUUAGAGCUAUAGCGUAGGUUUUUAGGCCUGAUAAAACAAAUUCCUUGAUUCUCAUCCCCCCAGACCUUAUAUUUAUUAUUAAAUGAAUUAGAGGUAUAGCGUGGGUUUUUAGGCCUGAUAAAACAAAUUCCUUGAUUCUCAUCCCCCCAGACCUUAUAUUUAUUAUUUAAUGAAUUAGAGCUAUAGCGUGGGUUUUUAGGCCUGAUAAAACAAAUUCCUUGAUUCUCAUCCCCCCAGACCUUAUAUUUAUUAUUUAAUGAAUUAGAGGUAUAGCGUGGGUUUUUAGGCCUGAUAAAACAAAUUCCUUGAUUCUCAUCCCCCCAGACCUUAUAUUUAUUAUUUAAUGAAUUAGAGCUAUAGCGUGGGUUUUUAGGCCUGAUAAAACAAAUUCCUUGAUUCUCAUCCCCCC